AGUUUGAUCAUGGCUCAGGAUGAACGCUAGCGGCAGGCUUAACACAUGCAAGUCGAGGGGUAUUGGUUUUCGGACCAAGAGACCGGCGCACGGGUGCGUAACGCGUAUGUAAUCUACCUUUUGCAGAGGGAUAGCCCAGAGAAAUUUGGAUUAAUACCUCAUAGUAUAGUACUUUGGCAUCAAGGAACUAUUAAAGUCACAACGGCAAAAGAUGAGCAUGCGUCCCAUUAGCUAGUUGGUAAGAUAACGGCUUACCAAGGCUACGAUGGGUAGGGGUCCUGAGAGGGAGAUCCCCCACACUGGUACUGAGACACGGACCAGACUCCUACGGGAGGCAGCAGUGAGGAAUAUUGGACAAUGGGCGCAAGCCUGAUCCAGCCAUGCCGCGUGCAGGAAUAAGGUCCUAUGGAUUGUAAACUGCUUUUAUACAGGAAGAAACACACCCUCGUGAGGGUACUUGACGGUACUGUAUGAAUAAGGACCGGCUAACUCCGUG
rnacentral:rRNA from 1 species